UCCCUGCAAGUGCUGUAUGUAUGUGUGUGUAUGCAUGGAACAUUACUAAAGGGGGCAGACAUAGAGAAAUAAAACCAUAAAUUCUAGUAUACAUUAGGUUGUGUUCCACUAAUACAACUCGCCCAAGACUGUGCUGUAUAAGUCACCCGCUGUAUUUAUAUUAUUUGUAUAUCAGUAUUAUUGGUGGUGUGUAUGUUAGGUUGGGGUGCAUUUCCAGAGUCUCACACUCGGCAUAUUGUAUUUUCCUUUUCCUGACCCGUAACUAUCACAAAAGAGGUAUCUCCUCAUUGUAUUUUCCUUUUCCUGACCCGUAACUAUCACAAAAAAGGUAUCUCCUCAUUGUAUUUUCCUUUUCCUGACCCGUAACUAUCACAAAAAAGGUAUCUCCUCAUUGUAUUUUCCUUUUCCUGACCCGUAACUAUCACAAAAAAGGUAUCUCCUCAUUGUAUUUUCCUUUUCCUGACCCGUAACUAUCACAAAAAAGGUAUCUCCUCAUUGUAUUUUCCAUUUUCUGAUCCGUAACUAUCACAAAGAGGCAUCUGCACAUUGUAUUUUCUGUUUUCUGACCCAUAACUAUUGUUAGAAAGGCAUUUCCACAUUGUAUAUCCCGUUUUCUGACCCGUAACUAUCGCAAAAAGGCAUCUAUGCAUUGUAUAUUCCGUUUUCUGUCCCAUAACUAUCUCAAAAAAGCGUCUAUUUGACAGCUUUGAUGAUAACCUUAGCCAGCUGCCAUUACUUAUGUUGGUAUGACAUAUAGUUGGAAAUUACAAUGCUCUGAGAGUGAUAAUUUGCUAACGCUGGCUUGGGUCCGGUUGUGUGCAUGUGCUUGUGUGUGUUUGAGUUUUUUAUGCACAAACUGACAUACGUACAUGCGUGUGUGUGUGUAUCUAUGUAUAUUAUAUCUGAGGUUGUCGAAGUUCUCAGCUGUAAGUUAUUCUCUAAAGCAUUGUUGAUUGGCGGUUUGAGAAGUGUGAUUAUAUACUUUAUGAGUGAAGUAAGUAAGUUUAUAUACCAUAGUAACCAUCUAAAUAAUAAUGGUGUGUGUGUUUUGUAUUGAGUGUGUGUCUGUGUGUGUGUGUGUGUGUGUGUGUGUGUGAGAGAGAGAGAGAGAGAGAGAGAGUAUCCACUCAUUUAAUUUGUAUAUAAUGACUGACUGACUGAAUGAAUGAUGGUAAUUGAAUUCAGUCAGUAUUACAUUUGUUGGCAUUAAUAAUUCACAGAUUAAUAGUAAUAAUAAUAAUAAGCUUAAUAUGGGCAUACAGGAUGAUGAUAAUGAGAGAAGAAUAUUUGUAAAUGAAGAAUAUUUGUUAAGAAGAAGAUUGUAUUCCUGCCUCUUGUGAUUGAAGGAAGGCUGAGUCAGUAGGAGUUUGAUGUCUGUGCGGUUUGAAAAUGCAAAAUAUAUUGUAAACACAGUCUC